GACGUCACGAACCAAUACGGAAAUACCAACACAUGCGGAAACAUAGCCGGUCGCUACUCAUUACCGGCAAUUCACGAAUAUCCCAUAAAAACGUCAAGUGCAGCGAAAGGAAGGAGGCAGCAGCAGAGGCCACACACUGUUAGGCCAAUGUUGUGUCUAUCAUUUGUGGGCGACUGAGGACGUCAUCCGGUAGUCGGCAGAUUGGGGUCAGCGGUUCACCUCAACAGGUUGCAUGCAGGUAAUGAUGCAACCCCACAAAUGGAGAGACCACGUUUGGUGCAGUUUUGAGCCGGAUAAACUCGGAAGAACCUGCAACUUUCCCGUAGGAAUACACACUGCACAGCAACCAGGAAGUGAAAAGGCACAGGUUAAAGUUGUACAUGUAUGAAAAUUUGUCAUCAUUUUAUAAUAUUAGGGGGUAAAAAAUAAAUAUAUGAAAUUAAUGGGGCAAAAAAUCCUAUUAAAGACAUAAAUAUUUGAAAAUGUGUCAUACUUUUCCCAUAUUUGGGGGUAAAAAAUCUUACAUUUUGAGGUUGGUCCUAAAUAUAUGACAAUAAAGUCAUAAUUUUGCCGUUUAUAGGCGGAAAAAAAACUAUAUUGUGUGGCCAAAGUUGUAAAUAUAUGAAAUUAAUGGGAAAAAAAAUCCUAGAUUUUGAGAUUAAAUAAAAAAAACAACAAAUACAAAACUAAAGUCGUAAUUUUGCCAUAUUUAGUGAAAGAAUUUUAUAUUUCAAGGUUAAAGUUGUAAAUAUGAGAAAAUAAGUCAUAAUCUUCCCACUAAUAUUCUGCAAAAGGAGGGACCACGUUUGGUGCAGUUUUGAGCUGGAUAAACUCGGAAAAACCUGCAAUUUUCCCGUAGGAAUACACACUGUACAGCAACCAGGAAGUGAAAAGGCACAGGUUAAAGUUGUACAUGUAUGAAAAUUUGUCAUAAUUUUAUAAUAUUAGGGGGUAAAAAAAUCUUGCAUUUUGAGGUUGGUCUUAAAUAUACAGUAAAGUCAUAUUUUUGUCAUAUUUGGGGGGGGGAAAAGUCCUAGAUUUUGAGAUUGAAGACAUAAAUAUAUGAAAAUGUGUCAUACUUUUCCCAUAUUUGGGGGUAAAAAAAUCUUACAUUUUGAGGUUGGUCCUAAAUAUAUGACAAAGUCCUAAUUUUGCCGUUUAUAGGAGGAAAAAAAACUAUAUUGUGGGGCUAAAGUUGUAAAUAUAUGAAAUUAAUGGGGGAAAAAAUCCUAGAUUUUGAGAUUAAAUAAAAAAAAAAACAACUACAAAACUAAAGUGGUAAUUUUGCCAUAUUUCGUGAAAUAAUACUAUAUUUCAAGGUUAAAGUUGUAAAUAUGACACCCAUUGAGGGCACAUUUUAAUGCAGUCACACUUUAAGAAUUGCAAUUUAGAAACAUUAAUAUACGUAUUUAAUACAUUUUAGUUGUACAAUAUGGAAAUUAAAAAAUGGACACACCUCCUGUUGCUCUAGCAUGGCACCAAAAGGCAGCCGCCCCCUGAAAAUUCCCAUAGCGUGCUAGCAGCUCGUACCAAAGUUCCUCUUUAGAAUACGUGCGCGACUAAGAUCAAUAAACAUUAGCCCCCCCCGCCCACCCCCCCUCGCUCUGUCUGCUCCUAAAGAGAAGGUUAGGCCAAGCCCGU